CUGGUCUCCGGGGGUGCGGCCUUGGGCAGCGCCCUCCAAGGUCCAGAGACCCCCAGGAGCUGCGCUCCGAGGCCCAAAGGCGUCGACAGUCAGAGCUGCGCCAGCACCCUCCCAACCCAACGGCCACGCGGCCACGCCCUGUGCGGCCUUUCCUGUUUGUUUCCCAGCCUUCCAUGUUGCAACUACAAAGUAGUAUUUGGUUGCAGCCCCGCUGAACCCUCGCUCCUCAGUUUGUCAAACAGGCAAGCUUGGUGGUGGUUGGCUAUAAUCCUGGCACUCCAGGAGGCUGAGACAGGAGGAUCACAACUUCAAACUUAGCCUGGGCAACUUGGCAAGACUGUCUCAAAAUAAAAAAAAAGGGACUGAGGAUGUAGUUCAUUGAAAAGACCUUGGGUUCAAUCACCAACACUGCAAAAGAAGAAAACAAAAAGGAGGGUGGGAUGGGAGAAAGGAAAAAAAAAGAGAAGUCAUCUGGUGGGUGGGGGGCACCUGGGGAGGGCACUGGCCACUCGGGGAAGAGCUGGGGCACACAGGAGAGGCCUGGGGUGCAGCAGCCUCACUGCGGAGGGAGGGGAGAACCAGCACGUCUGCCUCUGAUGCUCCCUGGGUCCCUGGGUCCUCAGCUCUCACUGGGAAGUGACCUGGUGGCGUCUCCAGGUGACCUCUUUCCUGGGAACGUUUUCCAGUGCGAGGAGGCGGCAGGCAGAGGGCCUGGGCUGCAGGAUCCUCCAGAGAAGCAGGGCACCCUUCAGAGCUCAGGGGCCAGCACUCGAGGGCUGGGGAGCGGGGGUGGGGGUGAGCUCAGGCCCUGGGCCUCCCAGGAACGUGGGGCCCCCCGCCCCGCAGGCGCACACUGGGCCGUGGCACUGGUGACAGCCCAGGUCUCAUUUAUGGGUCCCCAGCCCCAGGGGCUGCAAGGUCACCCAGGAAGGGGAGCACUGAGGGACCCCACGACCCAGAGGGAGUCGAACUUCCACACAGGGGCCCCAAGCUCAUGCCUUGCACGCUGGCUUAAAAAGGAGUUUGCUGUCUGGUGAGCACUGUCUGGAGUUCGCUCUCACCCAGGGAGCUUCCAUUCCCUCCCUGGCACUCUGGAGCAGGCAGAGGCCGGACGCUCUGCUCAUUCCCAGAGCUGGAUAUCACGGCUGCUUGCUGUCUCCGAAACUUGCAAUCUGCAUCAGAUGCCAGGUUCUUCCACACCACCCACCACUGUGGCUCCCCCACAAGCAUUCGAAAGCAGCCCCAACCAUGGCCAGCAGCCUCGGUCAUGCCCGUCACACUGAAGUGAGGCUCUGCGGGUGGACAGC
rnacentral:lncRNA from 1 species